UACAGAGGUCUCAAGCGUUGUUCGGAUUCAUUGGGCGUAAAGGGUGCGUAGGCGGCCCGGUAAGUCAGUGGUGAAAGCCUCCAGCUCAACUGGAGAACUGCCAUUGAUACUGCCGGGCUUGAGUACAGACGAGGUUGGCGGAAUUGAUUGUGUAGCGGUGAAAUGCAUAGAUACAAUCAAGAACUCCGAUUGCGUAGGCAGCUAACUAGGCUGUAACUGACGCUGAGGCACGAAAGCGUGGGGAGCGAACAGG
rnacentral:rRNA from 1 species